rnacentral:tRNA from 1 species
CGCGGGGUGGAGCAGUUUGGUAGCUCGUCGGGCUCAUAACCCGAAGGUCGGCGGUUCAAAUCCGUCCCCCGCAA